rnacentral:snRNA from 1 species
CGAGUGUGAGCAUGCCUGUCGGGACC